rnacentral:rRNA from 1 species
GUGCAAGCAGGCGCGAAAACUUCACACUGUGCGAAAGCACGAUGAGGGAAUCCCAAGUGCUUGCACGUAAGUGUAAGCUGUUUCUCUGUCUAAAACGCAGAGAGAGUAAGGGCUGGGUAAGACGGGUGCCAGCCGCCGCGGUAAUACCUGCAGCUCAAGUGGUGACCGUUAUUAUUGGGCCUAAAACGUCCGUAGCCGGUUUAAUAAAUGCCUGGGUAAAUUGUGUAGCUUAACUAUACGAAUUCCGGAUAGACUGUUAAACUUGAGACCGGGAGAAGUUAGAGGUACCCCUGGGGUAGAGGUGAAAUUCUGUAAUCCUAGGGGGACCACCAGUGGCGAAGGCGUCUAACUAGAACGGGUCUGACGGUGAGGGACGAAGCCCUGGGGCGCAAACGGGGAUUAGGAUA